AUGAACUGGGUUUUCUCCCGGAAGGGAGGAGAGGCUGAGCGGCAGCCUCACGGAGGCUCCCUGAGUGAAUUUCACUCUCAAGUGCUGUCACUUUCAGAGGACAGUUCCUGGCUGUAUCACGCCUUCCCCAGAAAUGAGCAGGAGGAAGACAGGGGCAGGCACCCAAACCAGGAAGUUGAAAGAAGUGACUGUUAUUUAAGAGGGACUUUCUCUGCCCUCCUCCACGCCGCUCUUUAUUCAGCAGGAACCCAAGGAUCCCCCUCCGGAGAAAGUGGAUUGUCGUGGGCUCGGCGUGCCAAGUUCGCUGCGGCCAAGGAACCCGGCACAAAGAUCCUUUAUGCCUCGCUGUGUGCUCUCCUUCCUGGCCCGCCUGCCCCGCGCACGGUUUUCCUCAGCCUUUCUUCACCAUUUCUUUUCCAGUUGACUUAGUUAUCACAGUACACGGAUGGCCGGGCCUGGCACCAGAGGCUGCGUGCGAGUGGGGGUCCCAGGCCCUAACGUGAUUUCCCCGGGGGAUGGGGGGGGGGGGUGGUCGGGCACUUGCCCACCAACAGGGCCGCGGACCCACCCACCGUCCUGGGCCUGCCUCCCGGUCACGGCUUCCCCGUCGCGGUCGGGGUCCCUGCCAGCCAGUGAUGUCUUCGGGGCAUCACUGAAGAGCACGGAGUAUGGAGUGGGGGGUGAGGGAGGCCCUCGGUGCUCGGCUCCAGACGAGGUGUGAAGUUGACUGACGCGCUUAAAAAAGAAAAGCGCCCCAAUUAAAGGCGAAGGAUGGGCGUUGAGGGGUUCAGGGACUCGGGGCGCUUUGUCUGUGGACAAAAUCUGGGUGCAGCUGGCCGUGCCU
rnacentral:lncRNA from 1 species